GAUGAAGCCUUUAUGUCCACUUAACAGAUUAGGAAACUGAGGCACUGAAAGGUAAAUAUAAUUGCCCACAGUCUCACAGUAAGUUGAGGUGUCCAGUUUCAACUUUGGUUGGCUGUCUGUCUUCUACCCAGUGCUCUAGCUAUUACCCAAAACUAGAGGGUGAAACCCCGUCUCUACGAAAAAUAAAAAAAUAGCCUGAUAUGGUGGCACGU
rnacentral:lncRNA from 1 species